rnacentral:rRNA from 1 species
UAGGGAAUCUUCGGCAAUGGGGGGAACCCUGACCGAGCAACGCCGCGUGAGUGAAGAAGGUUUUCGGAUCGUAAAGCUCUGUUUUUAGAGAAGAACAGCGCAUAGAGUAACUGUUAUGCGUGUGACGGUAUCUAACCAGAAAGCCACGGCUAACUACGUGCCAGCAGCCGCGGUAAUACGUAGGUGGCAAGCGUUGUCCGGAUUUAUUGGGCGUAAAUCGAGCGCAGGCGGUCAAUUAAGUCUGAUGUGAAAGCCCCCGGCUCAACCGGGGAGGGUCAUUGGAAACUGGUUGACUUGAGUGCAGAAGAGGAGAGUGGAAUUCCAUGUGUAGCGGUGAAAUGCGUAGAUAUAUGGAGGAACACCGGUGGCGAAAGCGGCUCGCUGGUCUGUAACUGACGCGGAGGCUCGAAAGCGUGGGGAGCGAACAGG